rnacentral:rRNA from 1 species
GACGAACGCUGGCGGCGUGCUUAACACAUGCAAGUCGAACGGAAAGGCCCUGCUUUUGUGGGGUGCUCGAGUGGCGAACGGGUGAGUAACACGUGAGUAACCUGCCCUUGACUUUGGGAUAACUUCGGGAAACUGGGGCUAAUACCGGAUAGGAGCUCCUGCUGCAUGGUGGGGGUUGGAAAGUUUCGGCGGUUGGGGAUGGACUCGCGGCUUAUCAGCUUGUUGGUGGGGUAGUGGCUUACCAAGGCUUUGACGGGUAGCCGGCCUGAGAGGGUGACCGGCCACAUUGGGACUGAGAUACGGCCCAGACUCCUACGGGGGGCAGCAGUGGGGAAUAUUGCACAAUGGGCGGAAGCCUGAUGCAGCAACGCCGCGUGCGGGAUGACGGCCUUCGGGUUGUAAACCGCUUUCGCCUGUGACGAAGCGUGAGUGACGGUAAUGGGUAAAGAAGCACCGGCUUACUACGUG